rnacentral:rRNA from 1 species
GCCUAACAUCUAGCCCCACCCCACAACAUAACAAUCCCCUAACUUUCUCCACCACAUAAAACAUUUUCUUAAUUUAGUAAAGGUGAUUAAAAAACUUCUUGGAGCAAUAAAUUCUAGUACCGCAAGGGAAAGAUGAAAUAAAAAUGAAAAAACUUUUUAAGCCUAAUAAAGCAGAGCUUAACUCUCGUACCUUUUGCAUCAUGGUUUAACUAGUCCCAUCAAGCAAAAAGACUUUUUAGUUUGAACCCCCGAAUCUAAGCGAGCUAUUUUAGAGCAGUUUUAUGAACGAACCCAUCUCUGUUGCAAAAGAGUGGGAAGACCCUAAGAUAGCGGUGACAGACCUAACGAGCUUAGUGAUAGCUGGUUGCUUCAGAAAAGGAUUUUAGUUCCUGCUUAAACCUUUAAUAAUUUCUAAAAAAACUGUUUAAAGUCAUUCAAAUAAGGUACAGCCUAUUUGAAAGAGGAUACAACCUUAAUUACUGGGUCUUUAUAUUUAUUCUUAUGCCAAAGUAGGCCUAAAAGCAGCCACCUUAAACUAAAAGCGUCAAAGCUUACUCAUAGACUUAAUCAAUUUCUAUCUUCCCAUCUACCCCUUAUUUUCCCUAUGAAGCUUCUCUAUAUCUUUAUAGAAAAUUUUAUGUUAAAACUAGUAAUAAGAAAUAGACCUUUCUCUUUAACGCAAGUUUAUGUCAGCCAGGACACUCCACUGACAAUUAACGCCCCUAAUAUAUGAGCCGAAACACAACAAGAAAAAUCUCCUAUUAUUAACGUCCACCUAACACUAGAGCGUUGCAAGAAAGAUUAAAAGAAAAAGAAGGAAUUCGGCAAAUACCUUAGUCCCGCCUGUUUACCAAAAACAUCGCCUCUUGCAGACAGAUAAGAGGUCCAGCCUGCCCAGUGACUCUGUUCAACGGCCGCGGUAUCCUAACCGUGCGAAGGUAGCGUAAUCACUUGUUCUUUAAUUGGGGACUAGUAUGAACGGCCCCACGAGGACUACACUGUCUCCUUUUUCUAAUCAAUGAAACUGAUCUCCUCGUGAAGAAGCGAGGAUAAAUAUAUAAGACGAGAAGACCCUAUGGAGCUUUAAACAACCGGGAUACUUGCUAAUUCUUAAUCUAUUUCCUGAAAACUAAACAAAUUAAAGCAUCUUACCCCCUAGUUUUAGGUUGGGGUGACCACGGAGAAAAAAUUAUCCUCCACGCUGUAAGAAGCCUCCCAUCUUCUAAGCUAAGAGCUACAUCUCUAAGCAUCAAUACAUUGACUCCCAUUGACCCAAUAAUUUGAUCAACGAACCAAGUUACCCUAGGGAUAACAGCGCAAUCUACUUUAAGAGCUCAUAUCGACAAGUAGGUUUACGACCUCGAUGUUGGAUCAGGGUAUCCUAGUGGUGCAGCCGCUACUAACGGUUCGUUUGUUCAACGAUUAAAACCCUACGUGAUCUGAGUUCAGACCGGAGUAAUCCAGGUCAGUUUCUAUCUAUAAAGAGGUUUUUCUAGUACGAAAGGACCAAAAAACCAUGGCCAAUGCCUAACUUAAGCCAUACAUUUCCAAGUUAUGUAUUCAUCUUAAUAACCAAAAAUCUUCUAAUCCUCUCUAGAAAAGAGUACAUUCCGCCCCC